CAAUAUUAGUGGUGCGCCCCAAAUUUGAUCCACUCGGGUGUUUAUUUCCCUCAUAAACCGCAUAUGUUUGGGUUUAAAGGGAUUAUUCUCAUUAUUGUCACCAGAUCCGCUAUUGUUCUCUCGACCAUGUCACAGCCUACUUCACACCUCGGGGUGUUGUUAUCGACCCUUUGUGAUAUUUUAUUUAUGGGAGCACCAGGAGGAACUGGACCUCGUCCAUUCACAUUAUU
rnacentral:lncRNA from 1 species